rnacentral:rRNA from 1 species
CAGUCGCCGCGGUAACACAGAGGGUGCGAGCGUUAAUCGGAUUUACUGGGCGUAAAGCGUGCGUAGGCGGCUUCUUAAGUCGGAUGUGAAAUCCCUGAGCUUAACUUAGGAAUUGCAUUCGAUACUGGGAAGCUAGAGUAUGGGAGAGGAUGGUAGAAUUCCAGGUGUAGCGGUGAAAUGCGUAGAGAUCUGGAGGAAUACCGAUGGCGAAGGCAGCCAUCUGGCCUAAUACUGACGCUGAGGUACGAAAGCAUGGGGAGCAAACAGGAUUAGAUACCCGCGUAGUCCCUGUCUCUUAUAA